rnacentral:lncRNA from 1 species
UAUUUACAGCAAAAGCUCAACAAAUCAUUACUUGCGCUUUCAUUGCUAAAUAGGCACAAGGGAUUCAAUAGUGACUGUAAUCAUUAGAAAUCAGGCUUACACUCUUAAAGAAAACAUCCUACAAGCUAAACUCUAAAUUUAGAACACUACAGAAGUGCUCUAGCAAUACAAGUACUGUUGUGUGAGAGAGAGAAAAAAACAUGGAAAGAGCGAAAGAUAGAGAUUGAUCAUUGCAGCGCUUGCAGCAGUAUAAGCAACAACAAGAACAACAGCAAAAUCCAUUACCGAUGUCAGGUAACUUUAGCACUGGACGGGCAACAAACCCAACCAAUGCUUAUGCGAUCAAGCAAGAAUCCAAUGAUGAUCUUGCAGCUGAAGAUGAUCAACACGCCUUGCCGGCCACUCCAGUUAACGCCAAUGUGAAGUGAAUAAUCGGCAAGCAGAUACUUUGCAAGAGAAUGCAGAGGUGCAGGCGGUGAUGUGGAAGCAAUGCCGGUAUUUUCCCAGACGCGCGUUCUAUAGGUGAGUGGCGACAAGCUGACUAUUUAAGCAUGAGUGAUACUACUGAGGCGUCAAGUGCUAGUCUAGAGUUACCACGAAAUCGCAAUAAAAUGGCAAAUCAGCAGCAGGCGCAACAACAACAGGCCACAAGCAAUAGCAAUAAAGAAAAUAACGACGAAGACUUGAUCAAAAUUCCGCUAAUAGUACUCGUAGCAACCAAACCAGCAACAUUUUAUUUGAUAACCCUUUCGCAACAAACACACUAAUGCAUGAAAAUGAACUUGAAAACAAAGAAAAUCACGACAAUAAUAUUGUUAAUCCGGCAAGGACAGCGCGAAGUCCGCUAACAACGAUCAGAGUGACGAUCUAGCGGGUGCGUACUGUUUGAUGCCGCAAUCAGCUGUAUAUAGCCGCUGUAACCGAAGAAGCUAUAAAUGCUGCGAUACAACAGCGAGAUACGAAACACUUUGCUACAAACGGCACUAAAGGCGGCACAGCGGAAAUUGAUUUUACACCACAUAAUACCUAUACCUAGUUAAUUGUAUACAUUUAUAUGACGCUGCAACUGGUCACUACUCUAUUACUCGUCGCCGUAAUGCUUUCAUCGCCUAUGCUGUCUGCAAUAGAAAUAGAAUAGAAUAGAGCAAAUAGAAAUGCAACUGAAAAAUAUAUAUGUAUGUAUGUAAAUUUGAACCUAAACAAAUAAACUAAAAAUUGCUUCAAUAACAGUAA